rnacentral:rRNA from 1 species
AUUCCCCUAGUAACUGCGAGUGAAGCGGGAAAAGCUCAAAUUUAAAAUCUGGCGCUCUUUGGCCGUCCGAGUUGUAGUCUGGAGAAGUGCUUUCCGCCCUGGACCGUGUAUAAGUCUCUUGGAACAGAGCGUCAUAGAGGGUGAGAAUCCCGUCUUUGACACGGACUACCAGUGCUUUGUGAUGCGCUCUCAAAGAGUCGAGUUGUUUGGGAAUGCAGCUCAAAAUGGGUGGUGAAUUCCAUCUAAAGCUAAAUAUUGGCGAGAGACCGAUAGCGAACAAGUACCGUGAGGGAAAGAUGAAAAGCACUUUGGAAAGAGAGUUAAACAGUACGUGAAAUUGCUGAAAGGGAAACGCUUGAAGUCAGUCGCGUUGUCCGGAACUCAGCCUUGCUUUUGCUUGGUGCACUUUCCGGAUGACGGGUCAGCAUCGAUUUUGACCGUCGGAAAAGGGCUGGAGUAAUGUGGCACCUCCGGGUGUGUUAUAGACUYUGGUCGCAUAGGACGGUUGGGAUCGAGGAACGCAWCGCGCCGCAAGGCAGGGGUUCGCCCACUUUCGCGCUUAGGAUGCUGGCAUAAUGGCUUUAAACGACCCGUCUUGAAACACGGACCAAGGAGUCUAACGUACCUGCGAGUGUUUGGGUGGAAAACCCGAGCGCGUAAUGAAAGUGAAAGUUGAGAUCCCUGUCGUGGGGAGCACCGACGCCCGGACCUGACGUUCUCUGACGGAUCCGCGGUAGAGCAUGUAUGUUGGGACCCGAAAGAUGGUGAGGUAUGCCUGAAUAGGGUGAAGCCAGAGGAAACUCUGGUAAAGGGUCGUAGCGAUUCUGACGUGCAAAUCGAUCGUCAAAUUUGGGUAUAGGGGCGAAAGACUAAUCGAA